CCCUUAGAUGUUCUGGGCAGCACGCGCGCUACAAUGGUCUUCGCAAACGGAUGCAUUCUCGAAGGAGAAUGCCAAUCUUGGAAUCUAUGCCUUGGUCGGGACAGUUGCUUGCAAUUUUUCGACUCGAACCAGGAAUUCCUUGUAAUCGUGAUUCAUCACAUCACGAUGAAUACGUCCCUGCCCUUUGUACACACCGCCCGUCGCUCCUACCGAUCGAAGAGUUAGGUGAAUUGUUUUGAUCGAUAAGGUUUGACUAUGGUCAACUCUCGUUGUGAAAUUCUGUGAAUCUGACUGUUUAGGGGAAGGAAAAGUCGUAACA
rnacentral:rRNA from 1 species